CAGCCGCCACGGUAAUACGUAUGUCACAAGCGUUAUCCGGAUUAUUUGGGCGUAAAGCGCGUCUAGGUGAUUAUGUAAGUCAGAUGUGAAAAUGCAGGGCUCAACUCUGUAUUGCGUUGGAAACUGUGUAACUAGAGUACUGGAGAGGUAAGCGGAACUACAAGUGUAGAGGUGAAAUUCGUAGAUAUUUGUAGGAAUGUCGAUGGGGAAGCCAGCUUACUGGACAGAUACUGACGCUAAAGCGCGAAAGCGUGGGUAGCAAACAGGAUUAGAUACCCGCGUAGUCCCUGUCUCUUAUACA
rnacentral:rRNA from 1 species